GCAUAUCAAUAAGCGGAGGAAAAGAAACCAACAGGGAUUGCCCCAGUAACGGCGAGUGAAGCGGCAAGAGCUCAAAUUUGAAAGCUGGCUCCUUCGGGGUCCGCAUUGUAAUUUGCAGAGGAUGCUUCGGGAGCGGUCCCCAUCUAAGUGCCCUGGAACGGGACGUCAUAGAGGGUGAGAAUCCCGUAUGGGAUGGGGUGUCCGCGCCCGUGUGAAGCUCCUUCGACGAGUCGAGUUGUUUGGGAAUGCAGCUCUAAAUGGGUGGUAAAUUUCAUCUAAAGCUAAAUAUUGGCCGGAGACCGAUAGCGCACAAGUAGAGUGAUCGAAAGAUGAAAAGCACUUUGAAAAGAGAGUUAAAAAGCACGUGAAAUUGUUGAAAGGGAAGCGCUUGCGACCAGACUCGCUCGCGGGGUUCAGCCGGCAUUCGUGCCGGUGUACUUCCCCGCGGGCGGGCCAGCGUCGGUUUGGGCGGUCGGUCAAAGGCCCUCGGAAGGUAACGCCCCUAGGGGCGUCUUAUAGCCGAGGGUGCAAUGCGACCUGCCUAGACCGAGGAACGCGCUUCGGCUCGGACGCUGGCAUAAUGGUCGUAAGCGACCCGUCUUGAAAACACGGACC
rnacentral:rRNA from 1 species